GUAAAAAAAAACAGUGUGUCCACGGAUACUGUGAGCAGUUCUGGCUCUCUCUACCACAAAAAGAAAAGGAUAUAAUAAAACUAGAAGAUGUGCAGAGAAGAGUGACACAAGAUCUAAAGAACCAUCCCGGGAGAGAGUUAAGUGGAUCAAAUUUCAGCACCUUAUGUUGCAGGUGGAAGAUGAACAUCAGGAUCAUCACACUGUUCCCAGUAGUCUUAACAUUUCUGAGACUGAUAGAGAUCCUUCUCCAGGAAAUGGAAUCCUUCCAGGGAGAAAGAGAAAGAAUUUAGAGACCUCAAUCCUCAAUGAGAAUUGGAAGCAGAAUACAUGAAGCACCUGACAUCUAUUAUAGGUAUACUCAGGUAUUAACACGGGCUGAAAAAAAUUGUCUAUUUCCCA